rnacentral:lncRNA from 1 species
AAAAAUGAGUUCAACCUAUAAUCUCUGAUUUAAAUAAUGAAAAGGAAGAAAUUCUGCCUCAAGACUGCCUACAGAUGGAUCUGCAUUGAUGGAAAACAGGAUACAGGUCUUGGAGUCAGGAAUGUAACUCAGGAGAAGAUAAUAGAAGAAAAGCAAAGGAAGUGCGUUCCCAGUGGACAGUUGGAGAGAAAUUUGCAGUGGAAAUUCUACAGAAAGAAGAGAGACUCUGUGGAGCAGCAUGGACAGUACACACCUGCAGCAGUGAACAGCAACAUCAUCCCCGACUCAGCCAAGGCUGGAGGAGAUGCCAGCUUCCGGGAACGAGAGGAAGUGGACAAACUUUGA